CAGCGAUGCCGCGUGAGUGAAGAAGGCCCUUGGGUUGUAAAGCUCUUUCGUCGGGGAAGAAAAUGACUGUACCCGAAUAAGAAGGUCCGGCUAACUUCGUGCCAGCAGCCGCGGUAAUACGAAGGGACCUAGCGUAGUUCGGAAUUACUGGGCUUAAAGAGUUCGUAGGUGGUUAAAAAAGUUGGUGGUGAAAUCCCAGAGCUUAACUCUGGAACUGCCAUCAAAACUUUUUAGCUAGAGUUUGAUAGAGGAAAGCAGAAUUUCUAGUGUAGAGGUGAAAUUCGUAGAUAUUAGAAAGAAUACCAAUUGCGAAGGCAGCUUUCUGGAUCAUUACUGACACUGAGGAACGAAAGCAUGGGUAGCGAAGAGGAUUAGAUACCCUCGUAGUCCAUGCCGUAAACGAUGUGUGUUAGAUGUUGGAAAUUUAUUUU
rnacentral:rRNA from 1 species